rnacentral:misc_RNA from 1 species
GCAUUUAUCAAGGGAACAAGGGCAAGGCAGUAAGGGCUGGAGUUGUGGUCACUCUGAUGGGGCUGCUUACGGAACCUCAAGGUAGUAUGAUCGACGAAGCACUUGCCAUUUUAGCUAUAUUGUCUAGUCAUCCAGAAGGGAAGACAACCAUUGGAGCUGCAGGGGCAGUUCCUGUUUUGGUUAAUGUGAUCACAAGUGGUUCUCCCAGAAACAAAGAAAAUGCAGCUGCAGUUUUGGUACACCUUUGCUCUGGGGACCAACAUUAUCUAGUGGAUGUUCAGGAGCUAGGAAUAAUGGGACCAUUGCUGGAUUUAGUACAAAAUGGUACUGAAAGGGGUAGACGAAAGGCAACCCAGUUGCUUGAACGAAUAAAUAGAUAUGCUGAACAGCAAAAACAGGCCCAGACAGAACCCGAGGCUCCGAUUCAUAACCAGCUUUCAGAGUCACCACCAUCAUCGACAAAUGUCCUGGAAUGCUGAAUAAGUAACAACUACUACUAUGCCUCAAUCCUAAGCAAGUGGAUCAGUUAUAUUAAUCCUCGCUGAUCCAGUUAAGCUGCUCCUGGAGUACUGUAUGCUUUUAUUUUUCCUUUUGUGUUUGGCUUUAAUUUUUUUGGUUUGUUAUAGCAUAAAUUAUAGAAAAUGGGAGAAAGGUGGAAGAUCACCUGAUACCUCCAUCAUUUAUUUGUUUUCUGGGGUUUGAGGUGUACACUCCCAAGGAUAUAUUGAGGGAAAAAACUGUGAAAACAUGAACUUAUUUGACAAUACUGAAUGUCAAAGUGUACCAUUACAACACAUUUACAAGUGAAAUCUUCCUCAGUUUUUAUAGACG